rnacentral:lncRNA from 1 species
AAUUAUUAUGUUAAUUCUGUGCUUAAGUACAUGCAUAUAAAUCUAGGUUUAAUAAGGUUUGCUUAUGAUUUGUGUGUAAUAUUAUAUACCAGUUCUGUCUGGUCAGUACUAGCUGGGUGAUCCUCCUGUUAGACCAGAGAGAGUAAAUAUGUUGUGUGUAUAUAUUAUAUCUCAUAGUCUGUUACAGGAGGAGGUAGCCUCAAGUUUCCAACCCCCUUUCCAGAUCUACUUCUACGUUAUUUAUACUACCUGCUCAUGUGCUUGGCAUGUGUUGUGGCUUGUGGGCUUAAUCCUAAUGGGCUUCUCACUCUCGGGCUGGAGGCCCAACAUUAGUCCCCCUCCAAAGUAGUUCCAGAUCUUUAGAUGUGGAUUAGAAUAUCUUGGAAAGCGUUUUUACCGCAUGUAAUUUUUGUUGUUUGACAAGUUUAUUGUGACGCGGAGGCGGUGAGCCAUUUCUAUAAGGAGGUACAUGAGGUGGUGAGGUUGAUGGUGACCGUUGUGGCGAGGACUGUUGACUUGCAGAAAAACUUGUAUGAAGUUGGGAGGCGAUAGAAGCAAUGAAGUUGAGGAGCGGGAAACUGGAGUGAUGGUUGAUGAGAUUCUUUCGGACAAAGAGUCUCUUUCCUCUCUAGUUACUUUUUUACCAAGCAAUCGAAGCCAAUCUGAUCGUGAUAAUUGCUGAAAGAACAUGAUAGCUAAAAGAAUAAGCUGCCGAGUGAAGUAGAGGGGCUGUGAGCUCAGCAUGGAGAACCGUCUUUGGUGGUGAUAUCCAUGUUGUCACUUCUAGCUUUCAGGUUUGAUGAUUGACUUCAGCAUGAAUAGGAGGUCGUCUUGUGGAGAUUACCUCAAUUUUCAUCUAAUGGGUAUAAGAAAACACCGGAUAUGAGAGUAUGCUACCAUGCGCUAGGAUUUUGCCCUCGUUGGGGCUGUCACUUCACAAUUUUCAAGUGAGGAGUGAUGGUGGACUAUUGCAUACUAGAAAGGAAGUUAAUGCAGAUGCCUUGAUUCACAUACUAGCUUGCCCGCAAAGCGUGCUUAUCUUGGAGGUAAUGUGUUUGGGCAGAUGAAGCCUUGAGGCGUGAUACCUGAGACGGUUGUAAGGCUUUGCCUGCCAUUUAAAGGACACUCGCCGAGCUAGUGAAGCGAUGUAGUGAGGAGUCGUCAUACCUGAGACCCGUUGUAGGGCUUUGUCUACCAUUUAAAGGACGCUCGCCGAGCUAGUGAAGCGAUGUAAUGAGGAGGCAGAAAACAGAGCCACUUGGUUCAUCGGUUCAAUAUUUCAGCGCCUCAUUUUCCGAUCAGAUCUGAGAAUAUCAUCUCUCUGCUCAAACUUUUCAAGAAGCAACUAAUAGGCGUCCUCCUAUGAGGCGAGGAGCUUGCUAGCCUUGGAAGUCAUGACUAGAACUUCGAAUGUUGGAGGAGCCGAUGAACUAAGGAGGCAGAGCCGCUGAAGCGAAGAGGCUAUUCGACCUUGAAGGUCAAGGACAACUAGAGCCUAAAAUACUUUGGAAGCCGGAGAAAUAAUGAAGCAGAAUCGCUGAAGCGAAGAUGCAGGUCGUUGAACCACUUUAGCGUCCUCCAAAGUGUGACGCUUAAAGGACGAUCCAAGAGCUGGAUACUUUAAGAGCUGUAUUUUGUAUUUAAGAACACUUCAAGAGCAUGAUGUUUCAAGGGUGUGACUUUUCAAGAGCAUGACGCUUCAUGAAUUGGACGCUCAAUGAGCAAUUAAGAAUACUUCAAAUAUUGGACGCUCGAAGAGCAAUUAAGAAUGCUUCAAAAAUUGGACGCUCAAAGAGCAAUUAAGGACGCUCCAAGAGUUGUAUUUAAGGAUGCUUCACAAGCAAGACGCCUCACAAGCGGGACGCCCCACAAGCGGGGUGCCUCACAGAGGGGCGCUUCAAAAAUUGGACUCUCCAAGAGCUGAUGGAGCAAAGGACCGAAUUAUAGAGCCUUUUUAGGACUAUGCCUUUUACUUUCAAGGAUGCUCCAAGAGCUGAUGGAGCAUAGAACCGAAUCAUGGAGCCAUUUUGAGGCUAUGCCUUUUAUUUUCAAGGGUGCUCCGAGAGCUGAUGGAGCCAAGAGGCGAAUUCUAGAUUCGUGUUUUUUGGAUUCCCAUAGGGAUGUAUGUUUGUUUCCUUUGGAUGCCGUUGGGAUUCAAAUUUUUAAAUACUCCAAGAGCUGAUGGAGCGAAGAGGCGAAAUAUGUAGUCAUUUUGAGGCUAUGCCUUUUAUUUUCAAGGAUGUUCUAAGAGCUGAUGGAGCAAAGAGGCGAAUUCUAGAUUCGUGUUUUUUAGAUUCCCAUAGGGAUGUAUGUUUGUUUCCUUUGGAUCCCGUUAGGAUUCAAAUUUAUGUAUGUUCCAAGGGCUGAUGGAGCGAAGAGGCGAAAUAUGUAGUCAUUUUGAGGCUAUGCCUUUUAUUUUCAAGGAUGCUCCAAGAGCUGAUGGAGCAAAGAGGCGAAUUCUAGAUUCGUGUUUUUUAGAUUCCCAUAGGGAUGUAUGUUUGUUUCCUUUGGAUCCCGUUGGGAUUCAAAUUUAUGUAUGUUCCAAGGGCUGAUGGAGCGAAGAGGCGAAAUAUGUAGUCAUUUUGAGGCUAUGCCUUUUAUUUUCAAGGAUGCUCCGAGAGCUGAUGGAGCAAAGAGGCGAAUUCUAGAUUCGUGUUUUUUGGAUUCCCAUAGGGAUGUAUGUUUGUUUACUUUGGAUCCCGGUGGGAUUCAAAUUUUGUAUGCUCCAAGAGCUGAUGGAGUACGGAGUCAGAUUGUUGAACCUCUUGAAGGUUGUAUUUGUUACUUUUUUAAAGGACUUCAGCGCCUCAUUGACUUCACGGCUCAGCGCUUCCUUCUUCGAGUAAGAUACAUGAUAUUUCAUUUUGAGUUUUACGAAAGCUCUAGGAGCUGGUGAGCCGAUGAGCUGCUGAGCCGAUGAACUACAAGAGGCGAUAGAGCAUGGAGGCAAAUCGUUGAACCACUUGAAGGUUGUGCUAGAUACUUUCUGAAAAGUUAAAUACUAUAUCAGUUCAAUGGUUCAGCGCCUCCUUCUUCACACUCCUUUCUGCUAGGACAAUUUAAGUGGUUAAUCGGUUCAAGAGCUAAUGAACCACAACUUCCGUAGCAUAUAUCAACAGUAAAAACAUCAAUGAUUCAGGAUCAGAUUGCAAGCCUAAGUGGCUUUCGAGACACACAUCGGAUAUCUGAACUUCGCGGCGCAUAUCGUGGCGGUGCUUAGCUCCACAUCAUUGACGAAAGUAUCCAAAAAUAGAUCCAAAAAGAGAUCGGAGAGAUUGGAGGCAGUUCAGAGACGGAGAGAACGAGUCAUGACUCCGUGAUUUAGCGGUGGAUUCCAACUCGGAACUCCUGACUUUUGGAGUGCUCAGAUCUGGAGAAAUGUUCUCGUGACAUUUCGCCGGCGUUUUUUCCGGCCAGCGGGGUCCGAAGCCGUCGGGCCUUAUUCCUCACUGACCUGCAUCUCGCCGUUCUCAUCAAACAAACGCCUAGAGAAGAAAUUUGAAGGAGAAAAAAUUUAUAGGAGAAAUUUUUUUGCAGGACAUGACUUCUCGGGAACAACGAGCACCUCUCUCGUCGCCGGAUCUGGCGGCGAUUUGUAGAGCUCAUCCUCGUUUCCGGUAGUAGCCAUGCCGAUCGGAGAUAUGAGUUUUUUGGUUGGAAAAGUGAGAGCCCCUCUUCUAGCGCCAAAUGUUAGACCAGAGAGAGUAAAUAUGUUGUGUGUAUAUAUUAUAUCUCAUAGUCUGUUACAGGAGGAGGUAGCCUCAAGUUUCCAACCCCCUUUCCAGAUCUACUUCUACGUUAUUUAUACUACCUGCUCAUGUGCUUGGCAUGUGUUGUGGCUUGUGGGCUUAAUCCUAAUGGGCUUCUCACUCUCGGGCUGGAGGCCCAACACCUCCUAAAUUAUAUGAGUAUGUGAUUUGUCUAGAUGUUUUGUACGAUGAACCUCUUUGUAUGCUUGUUUAUUGUACUUUUUCUUUAGCAAUAUUGGAAUUAGAAAUUAGCA